rnacentral:rRNA from 2 species
ACGCUGGCGGCGUGCCUAAUACAUGCAAGUCGAACGAACUCUGGUAUUGAUUGGUGCUUGCAUCAUGAUUUACAUUUGAGUGAGUGGCGAACUGGUGAGUAACACGUGGGAAACCUGCCCAGAAGCGGGGGAUAACACCUGGAAACAGAUGCUAAUACCGCAUAACAACUUGGACCGCAUGGUCCGAGUUUGAAAGAUGGCUUCGGCUAUCACUUUUGGAUGGUCCCGCGGCGUAUUAGCUAGAUGGUGGGGUAACGGCUCACCAUGGCAAUGAUACGUAGCCGACCUGAGAGGGUAAUCGGCCACAUUGGGACUGAGACACGGCCCAAACUCCUACGGGAGGCAGCAGUAGGGAAUCUUCCACAAUGGACGAAAGUCUGAUGGAGCAACGCCGCGUGAGUGAAGAAGGGUUUCGGCUCGUAAAACUCUGUUGUUAAAGAAGAACAUAUCUGAGAGUAACUGUUCAGGUAUUGACGGUAUUUAACCAGAAAGCCACGGCUAACUACGUGCCAGCAGCCGCGGUAAUACGUAGGUGGCAAGCGUUGUCCGGAUUUAUUGGGCGUAAAGCGAGCGCAGGCGGUUUUUUAAGUCUGAUGUUGAAAGCCUUCGGCUCAACCCGAAGAAGUGCAUCGGAAACUGGGAAACUUGAGUGCAGAAGAGGACAGUGGAACUCCAUGUGUAGCGGUGAAAUGCGUAGAUAUAUGGAAGAACACCAGUGGCGAAGGCGGCUGUCUGGUCUGUAACUGACGCUGAGGCUCGAAAGUAUGGGUAGCAAACAGGAUUAGAUACCCUGGUAGUCCAUACCGUAAACGAUGAAUGCUAAGUGUUGGAGGGUUUCCGCCCUUCAGUGCUGCAGCUAACGCAUUAAGCAUUCCGCCUGAGGGAGUACGGCCGCAAGGCUGAAACUCAAAGGAAUUGACGGGGGCCCGCAACAAGCGGUGGAGCAUGUGGUUUAAUUCGAAGCUACGCGAAGAACCUUACCAGGUCUUGACAUACUAUGCAAAUUCUAAGAGAUUAGACGUUCCCUUCGGGGACAUGGAUACAGGUGGUGCAUGGUUGUCGUCAGCUCGUGUCGUGAGAUGUUGGGUUAAGUCCCGCAACGAGCGCAACCCUUAUUAUCAGUUGCCAGCAUUAAGUUGGGCACUCUGGUGAGACUGCCGGUGACAAACCGGAGGAAGGUGGGGAUGACGUCAAAUCAUCAUGCCCCUUAUGACCUGGGCUACACACGUGCUACAAUGGAUGGUACAACGAGUUGCGAACUCGCGAGAGUAAGCUAAUCUCUUAAAGCCAUUCUCAGUUCGGAUUGUAGGCUGCAACUCGCCUACAUGAAGUCGGAAUCGCUAGUAAUCGCGGAUCAGCAUGCCGCGGUGAAUACGUUCCCGGGCCUUGUACACACCGCCCGUCACACCAUGAGAGUUUGUAACACCCAAAGUCGGUGGGGUAACCUUUUAGGAACCAGCCGCCUAAGGUGGGACAGAUGAUUAGGGGAAGUCGAAACC